ACCGCGUUGACGGAGCGAAGCGACGUCAAACCGAUAAAACAGCAGUGUAAAGUGAGCCGCAGGGCGCUUUGCGCGACAGCGCAAAGGCAGGCGGUUUCGCGUAGCGAAAGCGAAUGCUUUGGGGUGGGGUGACUGCGUACCUUUUGUAUAAUGGGUCAGCGACUUAUAUUCUGUAGCAAGGUUAACCGAAUAGGGGAGCCGGAGGGAAACCGAGUCUUAAUUGGGCGUUAAGUUGCAGGGUAUAGACCCGAAACCCGGUGAUCUAGCCAUGGGCAGGUUGAAGGUUGGGUAACACUAACUGGAGGACCGAACCGACUAAUGUUGAAAAAUUAGCGGAUGACCUGUGGCUGGGGGUGAAAGGCCAAUCAAACCGGGAGAUAGCUGGUUCUCCCCGAAAGCUAUUUAGGUAGCGCCUCGUGAAUUCAUCUCCGGGGGUAGAGCACUGUUUCGGCUAGGGGGCCAUCCCGGCUUACCAACCCGAUGCAAACUGCGAAUACCGGAGAAUGUUAUCACGGGAGACACACGGCGGGUGCUAACGUCCGUCGUGAAGAGGGAAACAACCCAGACCGCCAGCUAAGGUCCCAAAGUCAUGGUUAAGUGGGAAACGAUGUGGGAAGGCCCAGACAGCCAGGAUGUUGGCUUAGAAGCAGCCAUCAUUUAAAGAAAGCGUAAUAGCUCACUGGUCGAGUCGGCCUGCGCGGAAGAUGUAACGGGGCUAAACCAUGCACCGAAGCUGCGGCAGCGACACUGUGUGUUGUUGGGUA
rnacentral:rRNA from 1 species